UACAGAGGUCUCAAGCGUUGUUCGGAUUCAUUGGGCGUAAAGGGUGCGUAGGCGGCGCGGUAAGUCGGGUGUGAAAUCUCGGAGCUUAACUCCGAAACUGCAUUCGAUACUGCCGUGCUUGAGGACUGGAGAGGAGACUGGAAUUUACGGUGUAGCGGUGAAAUGCGUAGAUAUCGUAAGGAAGAACAGUGGCGAAGGCGGGUCUCUGGACAGUUCCUGACGCUGAGGCACGAAGGUCAGGGGAGCAAACGGG
rnacentral:rRNA from 1 species